rnacentral:misc_RNA from 1 species
ACAUCCUCAACCUUGGUCUAGGUUGGACUUGGCCUCCCAUCGCGGAGGCUGGAAUGCAGUCGCUAGCGGUGCUAGACAUUGUGUGCCAGAGCGUCACAAUGCGGCUGUCCAACGCUAGUUCACCAUCUCUUUUU